rnacentral:rRNA from 1 species
GACGAACGCUGGCGGCGUGCUUAACACAUGCAAGUCGAACGGUAAGGCCCUUCGGGGUACACGAGUGGCGAACGGGUGAGUAACACGUGGGUAAUCUGCCCUGCACUUCGGGAUAAGCCUGGGAAACUGGGUCUAAUACCGGAUAGGACUCCGGACUGCAUGGUCUGGGGUGGAAAGCUUUUGCGGUGUGGGAUGGGCCCGCGGCCUAUCAGCUUGUUGGUGGGGUGAUGGCCUACCAAGGCGACGACGGGUAGCCGGCCUGAGAGGGUGACCGGCCACAAUGGGACUGAGAUACGGCCCAGACUCCUACGGGAGGCAGCAGUGGGGAAUAUUGCACAAUGGGCGCAAGCCUGAUGCAGCGACGCCGCGUGAGGGAUGACGGCCUUCGGGUUGUAAACCUCUUUCAGCAUCGACGAAGCGAAAGUGACGGUAGGUGCAGAAGAAGGACCGGCCAACUACGUGCCAGCAGCCGCCGUAA